UACGAAGGGGGCUAGCGUUGCUCGGAAUCACUGGGCGUAAAGGGUGCGCAGGCGGGUUUUUAAGUCAGAGGUGAAAUCCUGGAGCUCAACUCCAGAACUGCCUUUGAUACUGGAAGUCUUGAGUAUGGGAGAGGUGAGUGGAACUGCGAGUGUAGAGGUGAAAUUCGUAGAUAUUCGCAAGAACACCAGUGGCGAAGGCGGCUCACUGGCCCAUUACUGACGCUGAGGCACGAAAGCGUGGGGAGCAAACAGG
rnacentral:rRNA from 1 species